CUCAGAAAUUUUUAUGUUUGUAUUGAAACAUCAAGAGGAGCAUAUGGUACAUGUACAGCAUUUCCCAAAUUUAAUAGAUUCAAAAAAUUGGUGUGUGUGUGUGUGUGUGUGAGUGAGUGUGAACAUCUCUUGGUUUAAUACUCUAAAGUUGAAUACACUUUGGAAAAUGCUGUUUUGUAACUUGUUAUUUGAUAUGUUGGUAAAAUGACAACUUUCCGACGAGUUUUCUGUCUGUCCCUCCUGGCACAUCGAAUACAAAACAUGAUUUGUUUUCUUGACUGGGUUUCAAGAGUUCGAAUUUUUUAACUUUUUAUUCAUGGUUUUAAAGCUCAUUCAGGUUUAUUUUAACCUUAGACGAUCAGGAGAUGUAAUCAUAUGAGGGCACAGAGAUUGUAAGGUUUUGCCUAAGGAUGAAAGUCAAUGGAAGGAAUUUCUCUUGUUUUGUUUUUCACCAAACUUUAUAGAUCCUGCCCUUUGGAAUACCUCCAUUUAUUCCAUCCCUCAAUCCAUGGUUUAUCCUGGCUUCUGUAGGGGCAGAUAAGAAAGAAGAAUGAUGUACACACCAGCUCCGGUGGGCAUGGGGCUUGUGUUAACUGCGAGUGAUGACAACAGCAGGAUGAGUUUGACUUCUCAGCAUGAAAAGAAUUAUUGAAUGGAAUUUUUUUUUAACAAUUUCUUCCCCAGAGCACAGAAAGUCGAAUAAUCAGCAUAGGACUUAAAAGAGAUAAUGUCAGAAUGAAUAGUAAUUGUCAGCAAGAAAUUUGAACAGUUUCAAUGCUGCUGCCUGCCAGCUGGGAAUAGGAAGCAGGAGAAGGAAGGAAUGUGGGAUUAGGGACACUGAGUUGCAGUGUGGACCAGGUGAUUCAGGACUUAGCAUCACAUAUCUGGACCCUGGAUUCUACAAGAGGCCCUUGGAAUGUCACAUGAAGAUUGUCUCUGAUCCCUCAGUGUGGAGCAAAGAAGAUGUAAAUAAAUAAAUCAUAAGAAGACUAUUCUCCUCAGAGUGUGGUCCAUGGAUCGUCAGCAUCAGCAUCACCUGGGAGUGUGUUAGAAAUGCAGACUCUCAGGCCUAACUCCAGUUCUACUGAAUUAAAAUAUACAUUUAACAAAAUGCCCUGGUGAUUAAUAUACACAUUAAAGUUUGAAAAGCAGUGUGCUAGUGGGCUCCCUCUAUUUGGUACUUUGUAAUCCUCAAUAAUAAACUAUAGUAUCCUCCCA
rnacentral:lncRNA from 12 species